rnacentral:misc_RNA from 1 species
GAUGAAGAACGCAGCGAAAUGCGAUACGUAAUGUGAAUUGCAGAAUUCAGUGAAUCAUCGAGUCUUUGAACGCACAUUGCGCCCCCAGGUAUUCCGGGGGGCAUGCCUGUCCGAGCGUCAUUGCUGCCCUCAAGCACGGCUUGUGUGUUGGGCCUCCGUCCUCCUCCCGGGGGACGGGCCCGAAAGGCAGCGGCGGCACCGCGUCCGGUCCUCGAGCGUAUGGGGCUUCGUCACCCGCUCUUGUAGGCCCGGCCGGCGCUUGCCGACACAUCAAUCUUUUUUCCAGGUUGACCUCGGAUCAGGUAGGGAUACCCGCUGAACUUAAGCAUAUCAAUAAGCGGAGGA